GGAGCAGAAUUUCAGCCCAGCUCCAAAUUCCAGUGGAUGUUGGAACAGAUUUCAGUCCAGUUCCAAAUUCCAGGUGAAUGUUGGAGCAGAUUUCAGUCCAGCUCCAAAUUCCAGGCAAAUGUUGGAGCAGAUUUUAGCCCAGCUCCAAAUCCCAGGUGAAUGUUGCAGCAGAUUUCAACCCAGCUCCAAAAUCAGGCAAAUGCUGGAGCAGAAUUUCAGCUAAGUUCCAAAUUCCAGGUGAAUGAUGAGCAGGAUUUCAGUCCAGCUCCAAAUUCCAGGUGAAUGUUGGAGCAGAUUUCAGCCCAGCUCCAAAUUCCAGGCAAAUGUUGAAGCAGAUUUCAGCCCAGCUCCAAAUUCCAGGAAUUCCCCCAAAUUCUUGGCUCUGGAUGGGACCACAAAGCCUGGAGUGCUCCAUUCCAGCCUCUCCUGUUUCCUGAGCAUUCCUGGGAACAGGGAUGAGCCCAGAUCAGAGGCACAAACAGGACAAGAGCAGCCAGGAAAAGGAAUUUCAUGGAAUUUGGAUCCCUCCUGCUUUCCCAAGCUGCCACUGUGCCAACACCUCUGGAGGAUGGGAAUGAAGCCUUCAUUUCUGUGGUGGGAAUGUUCAUCCCAAUCCAGUCCUUCCAGUUAAAGAAUCCACUACUCUGA